rnacentral:rRNA from 1 species
UACGUAGGGCGCAAGCGUUGUCCGGAAUUUAUUGGGGCGUAAAGAGCUCGUAGGCGGCCUGUCGCGUCUGCUGUGAAAUCCCGGGGCUUUAACCCCGGGCGUGCAGUGGAUACGGGGCUGGGCUGGAGGCAGGGCAGGGGAGAAUGGAAUUCCCGGUGUAGCGGUGAAAUGCGCAGAUAUCGGGAGGAACACCGGUGGCGAAGGCGGUUCUCUGGGGCCUGUUCUGACGCUAGGAGCGAAAAGCGUGGGGGAGCGAAACAGGG